AUGAGGCUGCUGGGUCUUCUCCUGUGCCUGGUGACAGCCCCCCAAGGUGUCCUAUCCCAGGUGCAGCUGCAGGAGUCGGGCCCAGGACUGGUGAAGCCCUCGCAGACCCUGUCCCUCACCUGCACUGUUUCGGGGGGCUCUGUCACCAGCAGUUACUACUGGAAUUGGAUCCGCCAGAGCCCUGGGAAAGGGUUGGAGUGGAUGGGGUACUGGACAGGGAGCACAAGCUACAACCCAGCAUUCCAGGGCCGAAUCUCCAUCACGGCUGACACAUCAAAGAACCAGUUCUCCCUGCAGCUGAGCUCUGCACACGUGGCCCCACGGGAUUAUGCUCAGCCCCCAGGACCUCCAACCCCAUAG